GGAUAGUUCAAUUGGGAGAGCAUGAGACCUAGGUAAUUUCAGGGCUGUGGGUUCAAGCCCCACAUGAAGCA